ACACGUAGGGGGCAAGCGUUGUCCGGAAUUACUGGGCGUAAAGGGCGUGUAGGCGGCCGAUCAAGUCAGGUGUGAAAUUUCAGGGCUCAACCCUGAGCGUGCACUUGAAACUGGUAGGCUUGAGUGCAGAAGAGGAAAGUGGAAUUCCCAGUGUAGCGGUGAAAUGCGUAGAUAUUGGGAGGAACACCAGUGGCGAAGGCGACUUUCUGGUCUGCAACUGACGCUGAGGCGCGAAAGCUAGGGAAGCAAACAGGAUUAGAUACCCUGGUAGUCCUAGCCGUAAACGAUGGGUACUAGGUGUAGGGGGUUUAGACGCCCUCUGUGCCGCAGUUAACACAUUAAGUACCCCGCCUGGGGAGUACGGCCGCAAGGCUGAAACUCAAAUGAAUUGGCGGGG
rnacentral:rRNA from 1 species